GAUGAAGAACGCAGCGAAAUGCGAUAAGUAAUGUGAAUUGCAGAAUUCAGUGAAGCAUCGAAUCUUUGAACGCACAUUGCGCCCGCCAGUAUUCUGGCGGGCAUGCCUGUUCGAGCGUCAUUACAACCCUCAGGCCCCCGGGCCUGGCGUUGGGGAUCGGCGGAAGCCCCCUGCGGGCACAACGCCGUCCCCCAAAUACAGUGGCGGUCCCGCCGCAGCUUCCAUUGCGUAGUAGCUAACACCUCGCAACUGGAGAGCGGCGCGGCCACGCCGUAAAACACCCAACUUCUGAAUGUUGACCUCGAAUCAGGUAGGAAUACCCGCUGAACUUAAGCAUAUCAAUAAGCGGAGGA
rnacentral:misc_RNA from 1 species